CAUAGAAAGGGCGGUGUAAAAGAAAGUGAUAUAAAGGUUAGUGGUUUUUCAGGUUUAACUGAAUGUCUGAGAUGUUACAGUGACCCAAAGGUUUUCUGCAUUUCAUGACCGUUGCAUUCCCUACUCGUCUUCAUGUCUCAGGUUGAUCAUAGAAACUCUUCAGCGCCUAAGCGCGCUAGAACCGAUGGUAGUCGAAGGGAAGAUGACUGGACAUGCCCUAGCUGUGGUAAUGUCAAUUUCUCUUUCAGAACGACAUGCAAUAUGCGGAAUUGCACUCAACCACGGCCUGCAGCUCAUAGAUUGAAGUUUGAUGUCAAGCCUUUGCAAGCUCCACCGCUGGGUUAUUCAUCACCAGCACCUUAUCUUGUUGCACCACCAUAUGGGUCUCCUCCAUUCAAUGGGUCAUCUAUUCCUCCCUUUGAAGUUCCAUUUUCUAUAAGAUCAGCUUAUCAUUACAAUUAUGAAAAUCGCCUUUCUACUGGCAGUCCUUAUAGACAACUGCAUUUACCUGGGCCAACACCAUACCCAAAUGGAUUGAUGAUGGGAAAUGGUGCAAUGUAUGGCUUGCCCCCAAUAAUGGACCGUUAUGGCCUCGGUAUGCCUAUUGGACCUGCAACAAUGGACCCAAGGCUAGGAUUUUUUCCCGAUGACAUGUCCCAGAAAAAAGACAUAGACGCAACUCGUGACAAUGACUGGAUAUGUCCAAAAUGUGGUAAUAUCAACUUCUCAUUCAGAACUGUCUGCAACAUGAGAAAGUGCAACACACCAAAGUCUGAAUCCCAGGUCUCGAAAUCUGACAAAAAUUCUAGUGAGUUGCAAGCAAAAAAUGCCUGAGGGUAGCUGGAAGUGUGAAAAGUGUAAUAACGUAAACUAUCCUUUCAGAACGAAGUGCAACAGAAAGAAUUGUGGUGCAGACAAACCAUCUGAAUCAAGCAAAUCUCCGUCAGCAGCUUCUGGUCAAAAUGAUCGGUGAGAACUAGCACAUGUUGAGGGUUGCGAAGGUCCAGAGUUGUCAUCCAGCAUUACUGAAUUUGGGUGUCUGACAAACAGUCAUUUCAUCCUCUACGUUGUAGCCUUUGUCAAGUCAUCACCUAAUUAUCUGUGUCAAGUUGUAUUUAACUGCGAUGGUAAUGAAUGGCCUUUAUGAAUCGGUAUGAUACAUGUGUCUGCCAGCUUAACCUGGCAAUUAUUUUUCGGGUUUGUUGUGAUAUUUCAUAGAAAAUUACCCUAUACUCUCAGAAUCAAGUCAUUAUACUAGGGGUUGUCAUCAUGUGCACUUAGACGAGGUAUCAUUAAGAUGGAUUCCAAGAUUUUAGAUAAUUUAGGUUGUCACAGUUUAGUAUUGGGUAGUUGUUGUCUGCUUCGCUAGCCUAUCUUUUUUUUUUUUUUUUCAUGUCACUGCUUGCGGCAGGGUGGACAGAUCAUGUUAGAUCUUAAAGCUUGAUUUUGAAGUAGAUUAUUUUUUGGUUAA